GCUCUCGUAGCUCAAUAGACAGAGUGCCGCGCUUCGAACGCGGAGGUUGCGGGUGCAAGUCCUGCCGAGAGCGCCA
rnacentral:tRNA from 1 species